CAAUACUUUGGUGGCGACCGGCGCACGGGUGCGUAACGCGUAUGCAACCUACCUUUAACAGGGGCAUAACACUGAGAAAUUGGUACUAAUUCCCCAUAACAUUCGAGAAGGCAUCUUCUUGGGUUAAAACUCCGGUGGUUAAAGAUGGGCAUGCGUUGUAUUAGCUAGUUGGUGAGGUAACGGCUCACCAAGGCAACGAUACAUAGGGGGACUGAGAGGUUAACCCCCCCACAUUGGUACUGAGACACGGACCAAACUCCUACGGGAGGCAGCAG
rnacentral:rRNA from 1 species